rnacentral:lncRNA from 1 species
AGAAAAGGCCAUCUUUGCUGUGCUUCCACAACAUUGUAGCCAAUCUUUCUAACGCUGCUACUCUAAAUAUAAAGAGUCAUUUUGGUGCUCCCAAGUUAUGGCAUACUAGUCUUCUCCAUGGGACUCUAUGAAAAGGUCCUGAUAUUUCCCUAUAUAGCUUCUGAAUGAAAUUUUUUUUGCAUAGAAAGAUAGUGACUUACUCAACUCUUCAACACGUUUGAUGUACGUUCUGGCAUUGUCCAAUUCAGAUUUGAGAUGCUAAGGAACAAAUUCCAGAUUUGAGCAGUGUAAUUACAGUGCAAGAAGAGGUGGCUGUUAGUUUCACUUGUCAAAUUGCAUAAAAAACACCUAGGGACCAGCUGUCUACCCUUCUUCUGAAGUACUUCUUGUGUUAAACAAGCUCUCUUUAUCACUAGCCAAGUGAAGCAUUUCACUUUUGUAGGAAUAUCCCCCUUCCAAAAAUAGUUCCAGAAGUGUGUUGGUCUCCCUGCCAUCACCUGGAGACCUCUUCUGUAAGCACUGUUGACUGAGAAAAGGCCAUCUUUGCUGUGCUUCCACAACAUUGUAGCCAAUCUUUCUAACGCUACUACUCUAAAUAUAAAGAGUCAUUUUGGUGCUCCCAAGUUAUGGCAUACUAGUCUUCUCCAUGGGACUCUAUGAAAAGGUCCUGAUAUUUCCCUAUAUAGCUUCUGAAUGAAAUUUUUUUUGCAUAGAAAGAUAGUGAUCAUAGUCGUAGCCUGCCGAUCCAAAGGACUUUUUUCGUUUAUAUGCUAGUGAUGCUUCAAUAGUUCAAUUAAUAUUAGAAAGAACAGUGAAAUCUUAUUAAUAAAUAAUGUGAGUGAGACUUUCCAGAUUGAUGAUUUAUGAAAUUUUUAGAUUUUUCUUUAGUUGUUAACGGUUGGUACUUUUAUAUUAACUAAUUUUGUUAAAC